GCUUCUGUGGCGCAAUAGGUUAGCGCGUUCGGCUGUUAACCGGAAGGUUGUUGGUUCGAGCCCAACCAGAAGCG
rnacentral:tRNA from 1 species